AGUGGCGGACGGGUGAGUAACGCGUGAGAAUCUGCCCAUAGGACAGGGACAACAGUUGGAAACGACUGCUAAUACCUGAUGUGCCGAGAGGUGAAACUUUUAUGGCCCGUGGAUGAGCUCGCGUCUGAUUAGCUAGUUGGUGGGGUAAGAGCCUACCAAGGCGACGAUCAGUAGCUGGUCUGAGAGGAUGAUCAGCCACACUGGAACUGAGACACGGUCCAGACUCCUACGGGAGGCAGCAGUGGGGAAUUUUCCGCAAUGGGCGAAAGCCUGACGGAGCAAGACCGCGUGGGGGAUGAAGGUUUGUGGAUUGUAAACCCCUUUUGAUUGGGAAGAAUAACUGACGGUACCAAUCGAAUAAGCCUCGGCUAACUCCGUGCCAGCAGCCGCGGUAAUACGGAGGAGGCAAGCGUUAUCCGGAAUUAUUGGGCGUAAAGCGUCCGUAGGUGGUUUAGUAAGUCUGCUGUUAAAGCGCGGGGCUUAACUCCGUAAGGGCAGUGGAAACUACUAGACUAGAGUGUGGUAGGGGUAGAGGGAAUUCCCAGUGUAGCGGUGAAAUGCGUAGAUAUUGGGAAGAACACCGGUGGCGAAAGCGCUCUACUGGGCCAUAACUGACACUGAUGGACGAAAGCUAGGGGAGCGAAAGGGAUUAGAUACCCCUGUAGUCCUACCCGUAAACGAUGGAGACUAGGUGUUG
rnacentral:rRNA from 1 species